UCCCGUUUAGCUCAGUUGGUAGAGCGCGUCACUAGUAUUCGCAUCAUUACGCUAUGACGAGGUCAGUCGUUCGAGUCGGCUAAUGGGAA